ACUGUGCAAACACGAAAGUGGACGUAUACGGUGUGACGCCUGCCCGGUGCUGGAAGGUUAAUUGAUGGGGUUAUCCGUAAGGAGAAGCUCUUGAUCGAAGCCCCAGUAAACGGCGGCCGUAACUAUAACGGUCCUAAGGUAGCGAAAUUCCUUGUCGGGUAAGUUCCGACCUGCACGAAUGGCGUAAUGAUGGCCAGGCUGUCUCCACCCGAGACUCAGUGAAAUUGAACUCGCUGUGAAGAUGCAGUGUACCCGCGGCAAGACGGAAAGACCCCGUGAACCUUUACUAUAGCUUGACACUGAACAUUGAGCCUUGAUGUGUAGGAUAGGUGGGAGGCUUUGAAGCGUGGACGCCAGUCUGCGUGGAGCCAACCUUGAAAUACCACCCUUUAAUGUUUGAUGUUCUAACGUAGCCCCGUAAUCCGGGGUGCGGACAGUGUCUGGUGGGUAGUUUGACUGGGGCGGUCUCCUCCCAAAGAGUAACGGAGGAGCACGAAGGUUGGCUAAGCAUGGUCGGACAUCAUGCGGUUAGUGCAAAGGCAUAAGCCAGCUUGACUGCGAGAGUGACGGCUCGAGCAGGUACGAAAGUAGGUCUUAGUGAUCCGGUGGUUCUGUAUGGAAGGGCCAUCGCUCAACGGAUAAAAGGUACUCCGGGGAUAACAGGCUGAUACCGCCCAAGAGUUCAUAUCGACGGCGGUGUUUGGCACCUCGAUGUCGGCUCAUCACAUCCUGGGGCUGAAGUAGGUCCCAAGGGUACGGCUGUUCGCCGUUUAAAGUGGUACGCGAGCUGGGUUUAGAACGUCGUGAGACAGUUCGGUCCCUAUCUGCCGUGGGCGUUGGAAGAUUGAAAGGGGCUGCUCCUAGUACGAGAGGACCGGAGUGGACGCACCACUGGUGUUCGGGUUGUCAUGCCAAUGGCAUUGCCCGGUAGCUAAGUGCGGAAGAGAUAACCGCUGAAAGCAUCUAAGCGGGAAACUUGCCUUGAGAUGAGUCUUCCCUGACUCUUUAAGGGUCCUAAAGGAACGUUUAAGACUAAGACGUUGAUAGGUUGGGUGUGUAAGCGUAGCGAUACGUUGAGCUAACCAAUACUAAUGAACCGUGAGGCUUAACCUGACAACACCGAAGGUGUUU
rnacentral:rRNA from 1 species